GGAGGAUAACUGCUACCCUGUUAACAGUAAUAAGUGGCAGCAUCUUCAGACUCCAUGCUGCUGAUGCUGAGAAAAUAAUCUGUCCCAGAUCC